rnacentral:tRNA from 1 species
UGGCAUAGUGGUUACGCUUUUGGCUGCUAACCAAAAGGUUGGCAGUUCAAAUCUACC